rnacentral:rRNA from 1 species
CAGUCGCCGCGGUAAAACGGAGGGGGCUAGCGUUGUUCGGAAUUACUGGGCGUAAAGCGCACGUAGGCGGCUUUGUAAGUUAGAGGUGAAAGCCCGGAGCUCAACUCCGGAAUUGCCUUUAAGACUGCAGAGCUAGCAGGUGAGAGAGGUGAGUGGAAUUCCGAGUGUAGAGGUGAAAUUCGUAGAUAUUCGGAAGAACGCCAGUGGCGAAGGCGGCUCACUGGCUCAUACUGGACGCUGAGGUGCGAAAGCGUGGGGAGCAAACAGGAUUAGAUACCCGCGUAGUCCCUGUCUCUUAUAC